CUCACUUCGGCGUCAUAUAUACUAAAAUUGGAAUGACACAGAGAAGAUUAGCGCGGCCCCUGCACAAGAAUGACACACAAACUUGUGAAGCAUUCCAUAUCUUU